GUAGGUGAACCUGCGGAAGGAUCAUUGCAGUAAGGGAAAUUGUUGUCUGGCGGCAUAUAUGCCGGCAGAGAAUAAAUUAGGUCGUCUGCGGGGUGGUAUACUGCUAUUGCAAUAGUAUAUUGCUAUUGCAGUAAUAUAUUGUUGUUGCAACAGUAUCUGCUCUGCGGACAACACCAGCGCGUAUGUGUGUGGCAGUCGACGUCAACAAAUAUACAACUUUUAACAAUGGAUCUCUUGGCUCUUGCAUCGA
rnacentral:misc_RNA from 1 species